rnacentral:rRNA from 1 species
UACGUAGGGGGCAAGCGUUGUCCGGAUUUAUUGGGCGUAAAGAGCGUGUAGGCGGUUUGGUAGGUCCGUUGUGAAAACUCGAGGCUCAACCUCGAGACGCCGGCGGAAACCAUCAGGCUAGAGUCCGGAAGAGGAGAGUGGAAUUCCUGGUGUAGCGGUGGAAUGCGCAGAUAUCAGGAGGAACACCAAUAGCGAAGGCAGCUCGCUGGGACGGUACUGACGCUAAGGUGCGAAAGCGUGGGGAGCGAACAGG